UCUCUGCUCAUUUAGCUCACUGUGUUGACUGUUAUACAAGCUGAAAGGAAAUCAAGCAAACAGUGGCCUAUUUAAUAACACCGUUAGACUUGGACUCUUCAAAGACGCAAUACACAUCAAGAUGGCACCUCCAAAAGUCGAUUUAAACGGGAAAGAAAAGCCCACCGAUGUACCAGAAGCCGUUGUGGUGGAUCAGUCUACUGAAUCCCAUAAAAAUGCCAACCUAAGAGAAGUUAACCGCAGGCGAAAAAGAUGCCGAGCUGCGGCAGUGGUUUUGGUGUUUGGAGUUGUUAUCAUCGGAGUAGCUUUGGCGAUCAUGGUGUUUGCUCACCGACGUCACAGAAAUGAAUUUGGCAGAUGGGGAUUCUGUGGAACUAAAGACAAACCUUAUAGAAUCCAUGAAAACGUGCAUAUUGAUAACGACAAACAACUUAUCUAUGUCAACAAUACAAAGACAGGAGAAUUUGGUGCCUCACAUGCCAUACAUGAUUACAGACAGAAAAUGUCUGCUUACCGUGAUCCAGAACACAAACGAUGCUUCGUUGAACCUCUACCUAGAGAAUUUGAAGACGGAAUACAUGCAUGGGGUCGUGAUGAUGAUGAUGAAGAAAAGCCUCAAAGAUAUUAUCAUGCCGAGCCCCCAACUUCUCCUGAAGAUGCCAGGCGUAUGUGGGGUAAUAAUAUUGCUGAUCACUGCAAGGGUCAUCAAUUCCACACAUUGACCCCGAGUCCACAUAUGCCUCCUAAACCCAAAAUUACAGAACAUGUGAUUAUUAUCAUCAAGAUAGUUAGUGUUGAUGCCAUACGUGUAAUCACCAUUGAUAUCCAUCAGAAUUAAAACUAAUAUAUGGUUUUCUUUUCUUUUAAUCUUUGUUUAAAGUUCACUGAUAACACCUCCAUGUAUAAUGUUUAGCAGAUAAGCUAUCACUCUAUUUGUUAAUUGUAUACUCAUCACAAAUUGUUUUGCUUUCUUGAAUUUUUCAAUCUUUUUUUUUUUAAAACGGUCCCAACACAUUUUUAAUACGAUGAAUUUGUUUUCUUUUGUUUUCGAUUUUAAAUAUAUUUAAGCAAACAAUUUUAAAGAUAUUUAAUCAAAAAUUUACUUUUUUUUUGUGAUAAUUAUUUUCAUACUACAAACAUAAUGUAGAUUAAAAUAUUGUAUUUACACUUUGAUCUGUACUGAUUGUAUAUUUUUAUAUUUUUGUGUAACAUAAGACUACACCACUAGACGCUAAACUUUAUUGAUAAUACUGUGAAAAAUAAAAUUGUUAAUCUCUGUAAUACUCGAAUUCUCUCUUGUAGUAUAAUAUAACAUUCCAUCUAUCUAAUAAUUUAUAGAUUUGUUUUGACUUUGUCUCUCUUAAUAAAGUUUUGUAUUGUAAUUAA